AGUACCAGGGCUUGAACUCAGGACCUUGCGCUUGCCAGAGCCUCGCGCUGAACCUCCCUGUGAUCUUCCUGCUCUUAAAGACCUCCCUGGACCACAGCCACACGCUGUCCCCUCUCAGAUGGCACCCAUGAGACAUAGCCCAUGAGACAUACCCGGACAUAGAAGAUGCCCCAGGAGUGUUUUGGGAUGAGGUGGCUUCAGAGACUGCAGAGGAAGGCAAAGCCAAUAUAGAGACUUUAAGUGAAACAAAACACUUCUCUUCCGGUAGCUGGCACGACUGGACGGAGGCGGCGGGAGAGAAAGCCCGUGUGGAAAGGCUCCUGGGAGGGGUCGAGGCGCAGGAAGGGCCGACCUGCAGCGGACCUCUCCUAGUCUGGGGGCCACCG